CGCGGCGGAAUUGGAAGGUCGCUCCCCCGGGACGUGACAUUUUUAUUGGUGGCAGCGGUGGGAUGGAAAAGGUUUGACAGGGAGAAUUAGAUGGAAAAGGUUUGAUGUGUACGUAGAUACAAAAGGUGGGAUUAGCUAAACGAUUUGGAAGAAAAAGCGCUAAACCCGCGGAUGAUAAAUAUUUCAGUGAAAUAAAGUUACAGUUUAAUAAGGAAGGUGGGAUAGACUAAAGCUUUGACAGUUUAAAAAUUUUCUUGGUGGCAACAUUUUUACGAAUCUAGCUCAGUUCGUGAAAUAGCAUUUUGAUUUUGAUAAGCAUUGAGAUAGGAAACCUCCUACAUCCAGAUAUUCUUUUGCCACAAUGGAUCCCGCAACCAGAAUGACCACUCGUUCCCAAGGCCCCCCUUCCAUCACCUCCUCAGAAGGAAGUCUAGAUGCUGCUUCUGGUGGAUUUUUAACAAUGACUCCAGCAGAGUUGGAAAUA
rnacentral:lncRNA from 13 species